CACGUAGGGUGCGAGCGUUGUCCGGAAUUAUUGGGCGUAAAGAGCUCGUAGGCGGUGUGUCGCGUCGGCCGUGAAAACCUGCAGCUCAACUGUGGGCUUGCAGCCGAUACGGGCGGGCUGGGAUUCGGUAGGGGAGACUGGAAUUCCUGGUGUAGCGGUGAAAUGCGCAGAUAUCAGGAGGGACACCGGUGGCGAAGGCGGCAUCCUGGACCGAGAUUGACGCUGAGGCGCGAAAGCCAGGGGAGCAAACGGG
rnacentral:rRNA from 1 species